UUAUUUCAAGCGGCAAAGAUCUGCGCGCAUGAAUAUUACAAACAGUUACAAUGAGAAUCUUCCUCAGAUCAUUCAGGCUAUGGCUGGGCACAGUAUGUACUAGCGGACUGAAGACCCACAGUGUAAAGUCCGUAGCUGUUCUUCUUGUGCGUAUAUAAAUAUGUGUGUAUGUGUACACGUAAAAUCUACAGAGAGAAUCGUGUUGAUAUUUGUAAAUAUUUGUGUGUUCCGGUGGGGUGGACAAUCGCUUUCUCUUUAUACUACAAGCGAAAAGUGCACAUUCUUUGCCAAACACAAACACUUUAAAGAGUGCAGUAAUUUAAUUUGAGGCAGAAACCCUCGCCGCUUCUUUUCAUGCGUCUACUUUAGCUCCAAAACCAAGAGUCUAAGAAAUUGAAUAACGAGGAACAGAAGCAAAAGCUAAAAAUCCGAAUAAAUCCACAGAAUUUUCAACGGACGUAUCUGCAAAUCAGCUGCCGAGGCAAACUAUUAUACCAUUUUUAACUAUUAAUUACGUAAAUUUUGGGUUUUGAGAUUGUAAGUGAAAUGAGAGUUAUGGAACAAAAUUUUUUGAAAAAUGUUUAAAAAAUUCAGUUCCACGGAAAAUAAUAGUUUUAAGUAUUUUGAUCCCCGAAAUAAAUUAAUAUAAGCAAAAAAACAUGUUUUAAUGGGUAAAAUAAUU